rnacentral:rRNA from 1 species
GACGUAGGGCGCGAGCGUUGUCCGGAUUUAUUGGGCGUAAAGGGUGCGUAGGUGGCGCCGUAAGUCGGGUGUGAAAUUUCGGAGCUUAACUCCGAAACUGCAUUCGAUACUGCGGUGCUUGAGGACUGGAGAGGAGACUGGAAUUCAUGGUGUAGCAGUGAAAUGCGUAGAGAUCAUGAGGAAGACCAGUGGCGAAGGCGGGUCUCUGGACAGUUCCUGACACUGAGGCACGAAGGCCAGGGGAGCAAACAGG